rnacentral:rRNA from 1 species
UGAGGGAAUAUUGGGUCAAUGGACGCAAGUCUGAACCAGCCAAGUAGCGUGCAGGAUGACGGCCCUAUGGGUUGUAAACUGCUUUUAUGCGGGGAUAAAGUGAGGGACGUGUCCCUUUUUGUAGGUACCGCAUGAAUAAGGACCGGCUAAUUCCGUGCCAGCAGCCGCGGUAAUACGGAAGGUCCGGGCGUUAUCCGGAUUUAUUGGGUUUAAAGGGUGCGUAGGCUGUUCUGCAAGUCAGCGGUGAAAGCCCGGGGCUCAACCCCGGAAAUGCCGUUGAUACUGCGGGGCUGGAAUACGGAUGCCGUGGGAGGAAUGAGUAGUGUAGCGGUGAAAUGCAUAGAUAUUACUCAGAACACCGAUUGCGAAGGCAUCUCACGAAUCCGUUAUUGACGCUGAGGCACGAAAGCGUGGGGA